rnacentral:lncRNA from 1 species
UUUGUGCCCAGACCCUUGAGUCACCGGCCACCCUUGCUGCUCAUCACCCCUUCCCUGUGGGAGCUGGUUACCAAGCUGCAAAAGCACCCCUCCAAUGAAGGGGUUCCCUCUGGUUGGGGGGCUGGAGAGAAGGAUAAUACUGCGAUGAAUAUUUUGUGACGUAUUUCCAUAUCCACAUAUAUGACAGCUUCUCUAGGUUGUGUGUCUCAGAAGAGAAAUAAUGUAUCAUAGAUUUUGGAAGAAGCACGAAAAUGAUUUACUGAUUUAGGAACUGGGUGGAGUAGACCACAAAAAGACAAAUCAAAAACAUCUGGAAUGAACUAGUUGAGAGAGAAAAAGAGAGAGCAAGAAAAAAAGCAGGAGCCGGCAAGAGGGAGCCUCAGCCAACACUACAUCAGAGGCACAUUGUGGAUGGAGGAAAUGAGUUUAGUCAAGCCAGCUGUGACUUCAAAGGGGCUGCUCUCCCAGAGAACAGUGAGAAAGGGUUCCCCCUUCAGUGAAGACUGCAAAGUUCAGCCAGCGCCAACCCAAAGGGAAUGGACUCCAGGAAGGGGCAAAUUACAUUCAACAUACAAGAAAGAAUAUUUUCCUUCAUGAAGUGGCUGUGACAGUCUGAAGAGGAAGGAAAAUGACAAAAAAGAAAGGGCCAGUACGUGGAAAAUGCGGAAAUUGGAACUUACUAUAAGUAACUAAUUCAGAAAUCAGGCUGGCAGAAGUGUUAUACAUUCACUGGAAGAAAUUGGUGAAUAUAUGGAAAACAUAAAUGUUAUGUAUCCUGGAACUUAAAAUAAAAAUUAAUAAUAAAAAAUGUUAUCUCUCCCAAGCACUCAUUUGAUGCUUGAAUCCUCUCUAUGACAUCCUUACCAAGGAUUUGUUCUUCUUAUGCUUGGGUACUUCAACUGAUGAGAAUCUCACUAGCUCAGGAUGCAGUUUGCUUUCUUUUAGAUAGCUCUGUUAGAGCUGCCUUCUUCCAGGGCUGAACACUUCCAUAAUUUAAAUUCCAUUUAUUAGUUUUAGUCCUGCCCCUUGGGAACUCGUAGCAAAGAUACUUACAUAUUAAUGUGACAUUUUUCAGGUACUUGAGGUUAGUAAUUAUGUAGCAUAUGACAUAGAUUAAACUCAUAGACUCUGGAAACAAACUACUUGCCUUCCCUUCAAAUUCUUAUUCUGCCACUUACUUACUAUGUGACCUCCAGAGAGUUAUUUACUAUCUCUGUAACUUUAUUUCUUUAUCUAUAUAAAAAGAUAUAAUAAUAGCAGUACAUCAAAGGGCUUUUAUAAGGAGUCCAUGAAUUAAUAUAUGUAGAUGUGCCUGGAACACGGUAAGUGCUCUAAAAGUUUUCACUAUUACUAAUCAUCAUCAUUAUUAUACAGAUCUUGUCAGAUAUCGGACCUAGGCCAUCUUUCUAAGUCUUUACUCAUUCAUUAAGUGAGCUCAUUCACUCCCAUGGCUUCAAUCACCAUCUAUAUGAUUAUGAAAAAUCUAUUUUCCUCCUGAGCCAAGAGCUAAAUGUAAGUGACCAGUUAUGGAUACAGGAAUUGCUCUGGCCACCAUAAUUUGGGUGGAAAUGGUGCAUACCACUUCCAGUUCUUGCCCCUUAAAAUACCAUGAGAAAUCUUGCACUCCUUUCUCCUAGUUCAUCAGCUAACUGAAUGCAGAGAAACCAGUGGAGGACUCCAAGGAAAUUCCAAAGAGUGGUUGAACCACGGGUUGGAAGAAGUCUAGAUCCCUGAGUCAAUGUUUGGAGAGGAGCUGCCGAGGAGAGCCACCAGAGAGGGACACAUGAGCAAGAAAUAAACAUUUCUUCUGUUAAAACAUUGAGAUUUUAUAGCCCAUCAUGACUAAUCCAAUGAGACCCUAGUGUAGAUCUUUUGCUUAGUCUUCGCUUCUGAGAUCUAGAACUAUAUAUUUCAUUUGCUAAUCACCAUUUCUACAUGAACCCUCAAAUAGGGUAAUAGGUAAACUCAGAGUUUCUAAGAUUAGACUGUGUUGAAAUCUUAGUCCUUCCAGGUACAGCUAUAUGACUCAAUGUGUGUGUGGGGGCGGGGGCAGGGGGGUUAAAUAAACUAUUCAUAACUGUAUCUACUUAAAAGUAAUAAGAAAAUGAAAUGAGCAUAUACAUAUAUAUAAAACAGUUAUCGGCACAUAGUAAAUGCUCAGUAAUUGUCAGGUAAUACAGUUAUUAUGACCAUCCCACUCCAAAUUUGCUCUUUCCCCAGGUUUUUUAUGUUGAUAAAUGGUACCACCAUCCAAUAGUUGUUAAAAUUAGAAAUUUGCAACUUUAUCUUGGAUCACUUUUUUUAUCCUCCCACAUGGAUAAAGUCAAUCAAUAACUGAUUGAUUACACUCCUUCAGUAUUUUUCAAAUCCAUUUGCUUAACUCUCUCCUCUUCUAUUCUACACUUUUCAUCCUAGUUAAAGCCACCAGCCUAUGUAACUUUAUUAUAUUUGCGUCCUUACUAGUCUUUUCAAAUCCAUCCUUGCACCCUCCCAAUUCAUGCUUUAUGUGGAAAUGUAGGCAUUUUUUAAAAAAUUCAAAUCAAAUCUUGCUGCUCAAAAUUUUAAAUGCAUCAACACCGAUUGCUCUUUGGUGCCACCACAUUCCUGACCCAUUACUUCAGCACCCCCUCAAACCCACCACAGGACUUUAUUUCUACAAUUCAGCCACACUGGACUUUUGUCGGUGUCAGAAAAGUGCCAUAGAUUGUCCCAUCUUUGAUGUUAUCAUGUGUUGGUUACUUUUGCUUAGAAUAAACUUUCUCCCCAUCCCAGUUUACCUAAUUAAUUCCUGACCACUCUUUACAUUUCUGCUUAAAUGCUAUACUCUCCAGAAAGCCCUCUUAGCAAUCUCUGCCCACACUUCUUAAAGCUAUGCCUACAUAGCCCCCACCUUAUUUCUUCAUUAAACUCUUUGCACUUGCCAUUAUUUGUAUAAUUAUGUUUUCCCAGCUAACCAGGAGACUUUGUGAGGGCAGAGACCUCAUAUGUAUGGCUCACUGCCUGGUAUAGACAGUAUAUUGGCUUAUACGAAGGAGGAGUUUAUUAAAUACAGUAAAUUUUUUUAAGUGUGAAUAUGAGUCUGUUAAAUGACUGUGUGUAUAUGUACCCAAUGUAAAGUUUUAUUUGGUUCGGUCUAGAAAAAUGUCCUACAGCCAAUUCAUGUACCUAAUUAAAUUCACUUACAAAUUUAGGAAACUCAGCACCUGCCCUAUUUGAGUUUAAAACUAGUUGAUUUGAUAGACAUAUAAAAUAAAAACUAUACUAUAGUAUCAUCCAUGCUGUCAUAAUAGAAUUAUCUCAAAACCUCCAUUGAUGUACUAUUUGGG